CGGAGAGUUUGAUCCUGGCUCAGGACGAACGCUGGCAGCGUGCCUAAUACAUGCAAGUCGAACGAACUCUGGUAUUGAUUGGUGCUUGCAUCAUGAUUUACAUUUGAGUGAGUGGCGAACUGGUGAGUAACACGUGGGAAACCUGCCCAGAAGCGGGGGAUAACACCUGGAAACAGAUGCUAAUACCGCAUAACAACUUGGACCGCAUGGUCCGAGCUUGAAAGAUGGCUUUGGCUAUCACUUUUGGAUGGUCCCGCGGCGUAUUAGCUAGAUGGUGGGGUAACGGCUCACCAUGGCAAUGAUACGUAGCCGACCUGAGAGGGUAAUCGGCCACAUUGGGACUGAGACACGGCCCAAACUCCUACGGGAGGCAGCAGUAGGGAAUCUUCCACAAUGGACGAAAGUCUGAUGGAGCAACGCCGCGUGAGUGAAGAAGGGUUUCGGCUCGUAAAACUCUGUUGUUAAAGAAGAACAUAUCUGAGAGUAACUGUUCAGGUAUUGACGGUAUUUAACCAGAAAGCCACGGCUAACUACGUGCCAGCAGCCGCGGUAAUACGUAGGUGGCAAGCGUUGUCCGGAUUUAUUGGGCGUAAAGCGAGCGCAGGCGGUUUUUUAAGUCUGAUGUGAAAGCCUUCGGCUCAACCGAAGAAGUGCAUCGGAAACUGGGAAACUUGAGUGCAGAAGAGGACAGUGGAACUCCAUGUGUAGCGGUGAAAUGCGUAGAUAUAUGGAAGAACACCAGUGGCGAAGGCGGCUGUCUGGUCUGUAACUGACGCUGAGGCUCGAAAGUAUGGGUAGCAAACAGGAUUAGAUACCCUGGUAGUCCAUACCGUAAACGAUGAAUGCUAAGUGUUG
rnacentral:rRNA from 1 species